rnacentral:lncRNA from 1 species
CUUCAUCCUUGAGACAAAAUCUUAAACAGAUGUAUAGCUUUCAGCAUAACUUGUCUGAAUUCUCUUUUUUUUAAAAAAAAAAAUAGCAGUGGAGGCGGAGGAGGAGGUGGAGGGGGAGGAGGAGGAGGAGGAGGAGGAACUGGCCGUCGCCGUGAUUCUUAUUAUGACAGAGGAUACGACAGAGGAUAUGACAGAUAUGAAGAAUAUGAUUAUCGCUACAGGAGGCGAUCACCUUCACCAUAUUAUAGUCGUUACAGAUCAAGAUCAAGAUCUCGUUCCUACAGUCCAAGACGUUAUUAAGAAGAGAAGUUAGUUACAGAGCAAAUACCAUUUUUCAACAGCAUGUUCCGAUCCUAGCUUUUCCUGUCGGUUCCCUGCCAUUAUCCUGUAUCCAAUUAAAAUGUUCCUGGUUAAGAUGUAUUUUCUUUUGAAAUACCCAUUUUCAUCUCUUCUUACUGUAAUAUUCCAGGUGUAAUUGUUGUAGUUUUAUGUACUUAAAUAUCUUUAAACAAAAAUUAAUGGGAAUCUAAGAGUGGUAAAAUAUUUUGUAAUUCAUGCAUUUGUUUUUCAAACAAGUGGAUUUUUGUUGACUCUCAUGGAGAAAGAACUGAUAUGUGCUAAUGCUUGCAUGUCAUAUUUUCAAUAAAAAAAACUCUCAUCUUUAUGGUUUAAAAAAA